UGGGGCCUACGGGAGGCAGCAGUAGGGAAUCUUCCACAAUGGGCGCAAGCCUGAUGGAGCAACACCGCGUGAGUGAAGAAGGGUUUCGGCUCGUAAAGCUCUGUUGUUGGAGAAGAACGUGCGUGAGAGUAACUGUUCACGCAGUGACGGUAUCCAACCAGAAAGUCACGGCUAACUACGUGCCAGCAGCCGCGGUAAUACGUAGGUGGCGAGCGUUAUCCGGAAUGAUUGGGCGUAAAGGGUGCGUAGGCGGCCGGCUAAGUCUGGGGUGAAAGGGACCGGCUCAACCGGGU
rnacentral:rRNA from 1 species